rnacentral:tRNA from 1 species
GUAGCGUAGCGCAGUGGUUGGCGUAUUGGGGUUGUACCCGAGAGAUGCAGGGAUCGAAUCCCAGAUGGUGCU